rnacentral:rRNA from 1 species
GGCCUCAAAUCAGGUAGGACUACCCGCUGAACUUAAGCAUAUCAAUAAGCGGAGGAAAAGAAACUAACAAGGAUUCCCUUAGUAACGGCGAGUGAACCGGGAAGAGCUCAAAUUUGAAAUCUGGCUGUCUUCGAUAGUCCGAGUUGUAAUCUAUAGAAGCGUUUUCCGUGCUGAACUGUGUCUAAGUCCCUUGGAACAGGGUAUCAAAGAGGGUGACAAUCCCGUACUUGACACAAUCAUCAGUGCUCUGUGAUACGUUCUCUACGAGUCGAGUUGUUUGGGAAUGCAGCUCAAAAUGGGUGGUAAAUUCCAUCUAAAGCUAAAUAUUGGCGAGAGACCGAUAGCGAACAAGUACCGUGAGGGAAAGAUGAAAAGCACUUUGGAAAGAGAGUUAAACAGUACGUGAAAUUGUUGAAAGGGAAACGAUUGAAGUCAGUCGUGUUCAUUGGAUUCAGCCGGUCUUCGGUGUACUUCCUUUGAACGGGUCAACAUCAGUUUUGCUCGGUGGAUAAAGGUAGUAGGAAUGUGGCCC